UAAGCAAACCUCCGAUGAUUGCGAACUGAUGGAUGUUGUUUGUGUGGAUGAAAUAGGUUUUCAGAUACACCGAAACUUUACCAAUUCGCUCCACUUAAUAUUUGCAUUUUACCCGAACGACGACUUUAUUUGUAUGCUAAUAUUUGCGGCAACGUCGAACGGUUUUUAAUCCGUUUGUGCAAUCGAAUUUUCACUGCAAAAAAAACUCAAAAACCGUUUGCAGUGAGAAAAAGAAGCUGGCCAAUAGUUAAAUCAUUGUAUUAUGUUGAUGACAAACAUUUAUACGAUCAAUUAAGUGAAUUAGCUCUAGUCGAUUGAAAUGGAAAAGGAUGUGGAAAGGAAAAAGCAUAUGGAAUUAACGAAUUACUAAUGUUACGUCUCUAAUGGGUCUCCCGCGAUUUAGCGACAAGACCGUCGCUGCCAACAACGAGCGAAACAACGAUUCUUUUGUUGAAAAAUUGUUAACUUACGAUGCAGUAGACGUGCUCCGACGAUGGACAAUUAAUCAA